UCAAAUCUCUUUUUCGAAUUUUUGUCAUUUUUGUCUUAAUCUCUAUUCUUGAUCAUCUAGCAUAAAUAAUAUUUUCGAUCAAUUAAACUCAUGAUAAGCUUAUUGGUUCAGCGGUAAGGUACUUUUUUCCCUUUGAUCCUGUAUUUGAGUUUUUGUGAAAGCAAUAAAGAAAUGUUUUGCAUCCUUUUGAAAAUAGAUAAGUUUUAUUUUAAACCAUUUAAUUAAUUCAGUUUUUGUCCACAUUUUUUUUCUUCUUUCCCAAACUUUUGCGGUUCUCUGCUUCUUUACGUUCUUCUUGCUCUUUCUUUUUAUUUCUCUUCUUUUGCUUUUUGAUUCAAAAUUUUAUGCGGAUGUGAGAAUUCCUUGCUCAUUAUCUUGUUUGGUGCUCUAAUUUGGUUGGGCAAGGGUUUGAUUCGCUAGUAUGGUGUGUACAGACCCAAUCUUACCCGGGCAUAGUGCCAAAAAUAUUAACCCAAUCUGGCCCAAAUACAAAGCCCAUCUAACUACCCAAAACAGACUCAGUACCCCAAGACCCAAUUACAAUGAACAGCCCAAUGACCCAAUAACCUAAAGCAAUCAGGAAACCCUAAUCCCCCUAACCCUAUUGCGCCGCACCCCCUGCUUCCUGACUUCCACGCCGCCGCCGUCACCCACCCUCAGCCAUCGCCAUUGUUUCGUCCACCUGCUCCACCAGCUUCUCUGACACCUGCAAAACAGAGCAAACACGCAAAGAGCAGCAAAAAAUAAUAGAAAUAGAUAGGUUAUAAAAGCAAAAACACCAUCUUUGUAUUUUUUAACGACUACUGAAAUAAAAUAAAAAAGCAGAUCUAAAGAAAAGGUUGAUUCCGAUUUUUUUUUCUCUGUUCUUGUUAUUUAUUUUAUUUUAUUUUUUUGUUGUUCAUUUUCUACUUUUUUUUUACAAAUCAAAACGGAAAAGGAAGGGGAAGGAGGUACUUACCGGUUUCGAAAGCCCGUCGCCAGAGAUCUUCUUCGGUGUUGGAAUCGGACCGAGAAAGGGACGAAAGGUCUCUCCUUUUUUCGGCUUGUUGGUCUGGAGGAUCGGGCCUUAAGGUGGAGGUCGAGAAUGGAGUUAAAAACCCCUCUUUUUCUAAAUCUGACCACCGCCCCUGACAGAGCCUCGGCCACGGAACGGCCGCUCGCCGGCGUGGGCCAUGUUUGGCUACUGGGAAUUUUGAGGGAGGGAGAGAAAAGUUUGUUUUUUUUAGUUGAAAUGAAAAUGAAGC
rnacentral:lncRNA from 1 species